CAAUAGCGUAUAUUAAAGUUGUUGCGGUUAAAAAGCUCGUAGUUGGAUUUCUGCCGAGGACGACCGGUCCGCCCUCUGGGUGAGUAUCUGGCUCGGCCUGGGCAUCUUCUUGGAGAACGUAACUGCACUUGACUGUGUGGUGCGGUAUCCAGGACUUUUACUUUGAGGAAAUUAGAGUGUUUCAAGCAGGCACACGCCUUGAAUACAUUAGCAUGGAAUAAUAAUAUAGGACCUCGGUUCUAUUUUGUUGGUUUCUAACACUGAAGUAAUGAUUGAUAGGGAUAGUUGGGGGUGGCUAGUAUUGGCCGGCCAGAGGUGAAAUUCUUGGAUUCGGUCAAGACUAACUUAUGCGAAAGCAUUCACCAAGGAUGUCUUCUUUAAUCAAGAACGAAAGUUAGGGGGAGUCGAAGAUGAUCAGAUACCAU
rnacentral:rRNA from 1 species